GACUUAUUUAUCAUAUAAACCGUCUCUCACAUGCAUCAACAUACAUUCACAUGUAUCAACAUACAUAAUGAAACAGUUAUGGCCCCUAGCACAAUUGUUCUCCCAAGUCAAUGAGAGAACCUAAGCUAACAUAAUAACGAUCUAAGCUUCUCCAAGCAAGACCUUCAAGGUUGUCCUCCUUUGAUAUUGUAUUCUUAUCUUUCUUCAUAACAUUAU
rnacentral:lncRNA from 1 species